AAGGCAGCAGGCACGCAAAUUACCCACUCCCGGCACGGGGAGGUAGUGACAAAAAAUAACGAUACGGGACUCAUCCGAGGCCCCGUAAUCGGAAUGAGUACACUUUAAAUCCUUUAACAAGGAUCCAAUGGAGGGCAAGUCUGGUGCCAGCAGCCGCGGUAAUUCCAGCUCUAUUAGCGUAUAUUAAAGUUGUUGCGGUUAAAAAGCUCGUAGUUGGUUCUGUGUCCCACGCUGCCGGUUCACCGCCUGUCGGUGCAACUGGCAUGUCGUGGGAUGUCCUGUCGGUGGCAACCCUGACCUACGGUGCGAGUAGGCUUGCCCGAUGCGCACCGCUUCUGUUAGGGGACGCCGAUUCAAUCCUGCCGCGGUGCUCUUAAGUGAGUGUCGAGGUAGGCCGACACGUUUACUUUGAACAAAUUAGAGUGCUCAAAGCAGGCUAAUAAUGCCUGGAUAUUGGUUCAUGGAAUAAUGGAAUAGGACCUCGGUUCUAUUUUGUUGGUUUUCGGAAUCCGAGGUAAUGAUCAAUAUGGACAGGCGGGGGCAUUCGUAUUGCGACGUUAGAGGUGAAAUUCUUGGAUCGUCGCAAGACGGACUAGAGCGAAAGCAUUUGCCAAGUAUGUCUUAGUUGAUCAAGAACGAAAGUUAGAGGUUCGAAGGCGAUCAGAUACCGCCCUAGUUCUAACCAUAAACGAUGCCAGCCAGCGAUCCGCCGAUGUUCCUCCGAUGACUCGG
rnacentral:rRNA from 1 species